rfam:Staphylococcus microti strain DSM 22147 contig_128, whole genome shotgun sequence.
AUUGGUUUUCAUCGAUUUUUUGUUUUUAAAAUUCAAAGAAACGGCUUGAGGUAUUCUGAGCAGUUAUAAAAAUUAAUUUGUGUUGAAUAUUGCUACUACAUUCUUGAAAAAGGGAUGUAGAUUUAUAGCCCAUAACUUUUUUGAAUUCCAUCGACGAUAUGGCGUCGAAAGAAACAUAAAUAGACCGUAUAAAAGAAAAAA